rnacentral:rRNA from 1 species
UUUGAUCCUGGCUCAGAUUGAACGCUGGCGGCAUGCUUUACACAUGCAAGUCGAACGGCAGCGCGGGGCAACCUGGCGGCGAGUGGCGAACGGGUGAGUAAUAUAUCGGAACGUACCCAAGAGUGGGGGAUAACGUAGCGAAAGUUACGCUAAUACCGCAUACGAUCCAAGGAUGAAAGCAGGGGACCUUCGGGCCUUGUGCUCCUGGAGCGGCCGAUAUCUGAUUAGCUAGUUGGUGAGGUAAAGGCUCACCAAGGCGACGAUCAGUAGCUGGUCUGAGAGGACGACCAGCCACACUGGAACUGAGACACGGUCCAGACUCCUACGGGAGGCAGCAGUGGGGAAUUUUGGACAAUGGGCGCAAGCCUGAUCCAGCAAUGCCGCGUGAGUGAAGAAGGCCUUCGGGUUGUAAAGCUCUUUUGUCAGGGAAGAAACGGUAGAGGCUAAUAUCCUUUGCUAAUGACGGUACCUGAAGAAUAAGCACCGGCUAACUACGUG